UCAUAUUUAUGAGUAGAAAUGGGGAUAGUGGGGAACGUGGCCCAUGUUCCCCACUACACAUAAUGGAAAUGUCCAUUAUGCCCCUAGGGUAUUUCCCUAUAUAAAGGGGGUCCGUCCAAGGCUCAGGGAGUGUGAAAUCGCGAGCGUGUGACGAGAGUAAAAGGAGUACAUCCAAGGCGACGGGAUUUGGUUUGUGGAAUUGCGGAGGGCUUUCCGAUCCUGUGAUCGCUCUUCCGAUAGCGAGCUUCGUCAUUGUCGAUUGCAGAUCUGCGGGAGAUCGCUGUAAGUUUUUACCGCAUUUAAUUA